ANUAGAUACCCUGGUAGUCCACGCCNUNNNCGAUGUCUACUAGUUGUUGGGUCUUAAUUGACUUAGUAACGCAGCUAACGCGUGAAGUAGACCGCCUGGGGAGUACGGUCGCAAGAUUAGAACUCAAAGGAAUUGACGGGGACCCGCACAAGCGGUGGAUGAUGUGGAGUAAUUCGAUGCAACGCGAAAAACCUUACCUACCCUUGACAUGUACAGAAUGCCGAAGAGAUUUGGUGGUGCUCGCAAGAGAACUGUAACACGGGUGCUGCAUGGCUGUCGUCAGCUCGUGUCGUGAGAUGUUGGGUUAAGUCCCGCAACGAGCGCAACCCUUGUCAUUAGUUGCUACAUUCAGUUGAGCACUCUAAUGAGACUGCCGGUGACAAACCGGAGGAAGGUGGGGAUGACGUCAAGUCCUCAUGGCCCUUAUGGGUAGGGCUUCACACGUCAUACAAUGGUACAUACAGAGGGCCGCCAACCCGCGAGGGGGAGCUAAUCCCAGAAAGUGUAUCGUAGUCCGGAUUGUAGUCUGCAACUCGACUACAUGAAGUUGGAAUCGCUAGUAAUCGCGGAUCAGCAUGUCGCGGUGAAUACGUUCCCGGGUCUUGUACACACCGCCCGUCACACCAUGGGAGCGGGUUUCGCCAGAAGUAGGUAGCUUAACCGCAAGGAGGGCGCUUACCACGGCGGGAUUCGUGACUGGGGUGAAGUCGUAACAAGGUAACCAAGGGCGAA
rnacentral:rRNA from 1 species